CCCAAGAUCAUUCUGACCAAUGUCGAAUGUGUAUAAAGCUUUGGAGAAGUACUCCUCCAUGGGCAUUAAACUUGCAAAUAUUCCCCCUACAAGUACGAAAGUAAAAGAGCAGGUCACCUUCGUAUUAAAAGUAGGAGUCAUCUUAAAUGAAGUGACCAAGAAAUUGACAUUCUUCGGCACUUCUACCUCGUUGCCUUAUGAGUUGUGAUCUGGAUUUUAGUUGCAGGAACUGCGAGUAUUGAAUAUCAAGAUAGAAGGGACUAAAUCCAGCUUGUGGUAAAAUGAGAUGUGGGAGUCUGAUAGUGGAAGCAGCAGUGGCGAAAUUUGCCCCAUACGAGAAAUUUGUCCCAAGAGAAUCCAGAUAUGCGCUUAGAUAAGGGUGACCAAGACUCUUCGCUGAACCACAAGACAGUUUGCUUGUCAGUAUCAUCAAUACAGUACAUAAUACAUCUGGGUAUCUAAACAAUGCCUAAUACAAUCUCUUUGAUAAAACAGAUGAAAUGAUGAAAUACAAACUCUUACCAAAAUUGAGUCACAUGGAGAAGAAUAAACUUCUGCAGAUCCCACGUACCUUAAUCUAUUCUAUAAACUAUUUAUUCUAACGUGAGCACUAAUUAUUUCUAAUUGCCCAUAAUAUGGGAAGAGCCUUUUUGUGCAAGGAGUUGUGAAUAAACUCUUCAACCAUAUCCACUGAUGUAUCCCACCGACACUUUCUCUCCUCAUUAUGUUUACACAUAAAGUGCAGUGCAGAAUCAUCAAGAAAUGAGUGUGUAUAAACCAUCUCGGGCCUACAACUUUGUAUACAAAGUUUGAUAAUUCGACCUUGAGAAAAAGAAUACUAUAGCCUUCUACAAUCAUAUAUGUUUAAAUUGUCGAUCAGAAAGAACUCUCUCUAAAUCUUUGCAUAUGAUAUAACCUAUACAUGUUGAUUUAAAUGAAGGUAAGAGAAACACACCCAGGAAGUCGAUUAUGAGUCUUCCAUCAGAGUAUCUUCCGGCUGACAUAUGAAAAUAGGUCUCUCCAUAAGGUGCGGGUAAUGGUAGAAAGGCUGCAGCCAGUCCACCAGUAUCUGAAUUCGAGUCUCCGAAGUUGAAGAUGGCCGGAAACUCGCAGUCUUUCAAAGCCAAUGUAGUGGUCACAGUACUACUGGUAGUAAGCAAUAUAAGCAUAUAGGAGCAAAACAGAGAAAUAACAACUCUAGGAGAGUACUCCAUGGUCAAGAUUGGAGAAAGACCAAAAGAUGCAGAUGAGAACUUAGUUGUGUUUGUUGUAUAUAGUGUAAUGAAACGUGCAAUUUACUUCAAUUGUACUUCUCGGAGGAAUUUAUUUAAGUCAUCGUCGUAUUGUUGGGGUCGAAACGCAUAUACAACCAAGUUGAAAAUGGAGGCAACAAGAUGACCAAGACGUUUGAAGUCUGAACCAACGUUGCCAGAAACGCGGAACGUUUCGGCACGGGUACGCGGUACGCUAGGAUAUAUUAGCUAAUUUUAAUUUAAACAAAUUAAUAUAAAAAUAAGAUUAUAGAAACAUAAUAAAUCGAAACUCAUACCAUAAAUUUAGGUACCAAAAUAUCCCUUAUUGGUAAACUGGAUCAACCACAUAGCUCAUGAAGGAAAAUCAAGUAAAUUAAUAGAUAAAAUAAUAAGAAAAACUGUAUUUAUUUAAGUUUUAAUUAUUUUCUAGAUAAAGAUCAGUUUAUAUUGAGAUGAUUAUGUCUUGAUUAUGUGGAUCUUCACACAAACACCGACAUCAAAGAAUUGAAGAUCACAUUUCAAACAAAUCAAUAACCUCCACCUUCACGUUAUAAUCAAUCACCCGCAACUCCUGAUCUCCUCCUCCUAAUUAUCCAUCUGCUCUUUCUGAAUUUUGCACACAAAUCCUCAAUUAGGCAUUAAAACAAACACUUUAUGGGCGCUAGGCAAAGACAUUUCCAUCUCAAAUCGGCAUCGUUCAACACGGCGAUCGGGAUCGCGAACGCCCCGCGAUUGGGUUCGUGCGUUCCGGAACGCGGGUCGCCGGUAAGACGAGUGUUUCCGGUAACUCUGGUCUCUGAACAGAUUUGUUUUUUUUUUUUGGUUAUGAAUAAUCCAUUGAAGUAGGCCAAGACACAAAGAGCCGAAGGCCCAAUAACAAGUAAAUAUACAUUGUGCUCUAUCAACUAGAUACCUAGCAGGAGAUAGAACAACAACAGCAAAAAAACAGAGUGACGAACUAAAUCACUCCCAUGACCGGUGCCGGAGGACAAGGCAAGCCGUCAUUACGAAGAACAGAAGCUAAAGAGGGUGGUGGCAUUGAAGCCCAUCGGUGAAGACCCAACCUCGACUUGGCAAGCGAAGCCACUACAUAAGCAGCUUGAUUCGCUUCACGGGGAAUCCAUUCCCAAGUAAUUGAACCAAAAUUCUGACUUCUCUUUCUAAUUUCUUCAACGAUUGGGAAUAACCUCCAAGCCAUGUAGUUAGAUGAAGCUUUGAUGUUGUUAAUGACUUCUAGAGAAUCUGAUCGGAGACAUACCUUCCCUAAUCCCAGAUUUAAGGCCGUAUCCACUCCAAGAAGCAGUGCAUUUGCUUCUGCCAUUGCAGAUGAUCCACACUUAGUCACAUUGGAAACACAAUCCACAAGCUCUCCGGAAUUCGACCUGAUAACAACUCCCAAAUUUCUAAACACACUUAGUCUGAACAGAUAAGUGUUUUUUCACAACACAAAAAGCAGCUCGAAUCAUGACAACCUUGUAUCAGCUGAAGGCCGGAAGCAAUUAUAUUCCAAUUUCUUUUAUCAGGAAAAAUAAAUAAAUAACAAACAAAAAAACUGUGUGAGAGAGUGUGAAGUAGAUAGAAGUCAUAGAACAAUGUUUCAUGCAGGUAAUACAUUUAAGAAUACGAACAAUGAUUCAAUAACUAUAUACAGAAACUAAACUAUGAUCUACAACUUUUCAUCCGAAAUCCCCAAUUUCAUUAGCCACUUGAGCUAGAGCUCAAAGAUACGAGAAAGAAAACUAGCACUCAGCUGCUAGCUAGUUCAAGAUGCCUAGUAUUGCUCAAGGUCAUUGGUAAAAUAAAAGUGCAGAUAUUAGGUAGAAACCAACUAAUUAAGAGGCCAAUGAAGCUAUAACUUUACUCGAUCAUUCAAAUCACAUCAAAUUCCACACCGUUAACUCUUUCAAUACUGAAAAUUGUUAUAUACAAAUUUCUAAAUAAACAGGGGCAAGUAGAAAACAGAUACAAGCAAAACAGAGAACACCCUUACACAGAUUGUUGCAGAAAUAAAUAGUGUUGCUGUUGCUGCAGAUACUUCUUUAGCACGAGGGAAAUACAAAAUAGUGUUGCUCAAGGAUGUCAAUCUAAAAACGAAGGUCCACGAUCUUCAGAAUUGAAAAGCUGAAAAGAGCGAAUUCUGACAUCAUAUUUUCUGCAUUUGGUAAUUUGACGGCCUGAGGAUGAACAAUCUGAUGAUCCAUCUGAUACGAGUGGGUAAGAAGCCGAAGAACACUAUAAUCAUCGUAAGCAUUUCCUAUAUGGUCACCGCACUUGCGACAAAGAAGUUUAGUUCUCCGGCUGAACAAACCCCACGAACGCCUGGAGAAAUGAGGUUUACUUGGAGUUCAUCAACCUGACUAAAUCUGCUCUCAUCAAUGUAAAAGAACGAUAUGAUCCCUCUCUUUAUAGAUUUCUCGUACUUGUUAGAUCCAAUCAAAGACGUGUUCCGGUUGUUAGAGCUCAGGUUCAGCUCAUAGCCACAAGCGCCACAGCUGCAUAUGUACAAAAACCACUUUCAUGUAAUACGUUCCGUAAUUUCAACCCACAAUUAACUAAACCGAGAAUAGCAAACUUUGGAGAGCAGGAGAUAAAAUGUUAAUGUUCUUGUAACAAAUUUGUUACCCUUAGCACUUCUGAGCUCUUACUAACUCGAUCUUGCUACGAACAGCAAGGCAUUUGUAUUACUGAAGUAGAGUUCACCUAGUGAUUCUAGUGACGUUGUUAUCUUAGUUUGAUUCAUCAAUAACUUCAAUACCUGUCAAUUUUGUUCCGGGGAACCUAAUUUUCCAAUAUUAAAGACCACCCUUUUCAUAGAUCUUAAAAAGCUUCCUCCUUUGUUUAAUAUUUCUAGGCCCAAAAACCUUAAACAUUGAAGCAAUCACAAACAGAUCCUCAAAUUCCUUAAUAUCAUAACAAUCAAGUAUCAAUGACCACAACUUAAACCCACAACCCAAAAAUUUCCUUGUUGAGAUCAUUCUGGCCAAUGUCGAAUGUGCAUAAAGCUUUGGAGAAGUACGUACUCCUCCUUGGGCAUUAAACUUGCAAAUAUUCCCCUUACAAAAGUAAAAGCCGGUCACCUUUCCCGGUGAAAGUAGAUUCAUCUCAGUGAUGUGACCGGUGUUAAGGGUAUAAGUAUAAUUACACACCAUGUGGUGCUCUAGUACUUGGUAUAUAUAGCUACUGUUCUUAUUUUCGUACAUGUAUCUAUUGGUAUGAACUUUGGUUGGCAUCCCUAUACCAAAACUAGAAUACGUGCUAAGUGGUUAAAGCUAUUACUUAUGGCAUCUUUGAUAAUAGCUCACAUGCUUCUGUGUCAUUAUUAAUUGAGAAAUUGUUUCAUGAUCAUAUCGAGCUAAUGUAUUGCAGAAGAUGUGAAUCCUAAGUCUUUAGAAUUUUCAUGUUGAUUAUACGAUUAGUUGAUCUUUAGUUGAAAGGAAAGAAACCUAUUUUGAUUAGGUUAUGAUCUUAAUUUGAAUUAUCAUAUCGUAUUAGUCAUGCAAUAAGAUCUUAUGCCAUUGAUCUUAAUUGUGAUAUGCAUACAUGUGUUCUUAAUAUAACUCUUCCUUAUGCUUGAUUGUUAGAUGUUAUUAUAAUUAAAAUGAGUUAUUUGCAGGUGAUUUUUCCGUGUGGGAGUAAUUGAGUCCUAACUUGGUUAGGAUCUCAAUAUGUGAUAUGGUUGUGGAAUCAAAUAAAGGAAAGAAGAUCUAUUUUGAAUAGGUCUCCUAUGCUAGCAGUGUGAAGGAAAGAAAGAAAUCCUAUUUCAUAAAGGAUAUUCUUUUAUGGUGUAAAUAGAUAAAUAUCUUUUUAUUAUUACAAAGUCUUUAACUCUGAUGUAAAUUCCUUCUAGAGACAUGGAUUAGGGUUGCUAGCGUGAGGUUCUUGUUGCUGUAUAAAAGAGACGUAUGACAGAUGAAAGAGUCGAUCUUUGCACGCUUGGCGUUUGAGAGAAAAUUAUUUUAUUCUGCUGCUCAUCUAAAUAUACAAGUUCAAUUGUUCCUUGUUGAGUUGGACUUGUUGUGUGUGUAAUUGUGACUCUCUUGUGUGUCGAGAGAAGAUCAUUGAAGAAAGGAGAAGAAGAUGUUCUGCCUAGACAUAGGAGUUUAUAAUAGUAAAGGGUUUACAAAGAAGUUGUAAGACUCUUCACAAAUUCAUCUAGUUGAGUUUGUUUUCUGAGCUUGUGCUAUGUUGUGGUUUUUUCCUCUAUUUUGAGGUUUUUACACAGCGUUAAAAAUCUGAUGUUCUUCUUAUUUUGUCUGUCAGUUCAUCGAGGAUUGAAACGUCUAGGGUUUUCUGUCUGUUUCAAUCUAUGCUUCACGUUUCAGUACCUUUAGUAUCAGUCUUACUACAACAAUACAAGUCAUUUUUCUCUCUUUAUUUUCUUGCUUUCUCCAAACUUUCAACCGGUAAUAUAUUCUUCACAACUACUUUACCUCGCUGCCUCAUGAGUUGUGAUCUGGACUUUAGUUGCAGUAACUGCAUAUAUUGAAUAUCAAGAUAGAAAGGACUAUAUCCACCGGCUGACGGCAUAAAAUUAUCUGGGAGUCUGAUAGUGGAAGCAGCAGUGGCGAAAUUUGCACCGUGCGAGAAAUUUAUGCCGACAGAAUCCAGAUAUGCGCUUAGAUAAGAGUGACCAAGACUCUUUGCUGAACCACAUGAUAUAUAGCCUCAUCAAUACAGUACAUAAGUGUAAAAUCAUCAAGAAAUGAGUGUGUAGAAACCAUCUCAGGCCUACCACUUUGUGUAAGAAGGUUUGAUAAUUCAAACUCAGAGAAAAAGCACUAUUUCCUUGUACAAUCAUUUAUGUUUGAAUAGCAUGUUGCCUUUGCAUAUGAUACAACUUAGCUAUAUACAUGUUAAUAUGUAUUGCAGAUAAGAAAAACAUACCGAGGAAAUCGAUAAUGAGUCUUCCAUCAGAGAAUCUUCCGGAUGGCAUACGAAAUAAGUCUCUCUAUAAGGUGUAGUUAGUGGUAGAAGAGAUGCAGCAGACAGUCCACCAGUAUCUGAAUUCGAGUCUCCGAAGUUGAAGAUGGCUGGAAACUCGCAGUCUUUCAGAGCCAAGGCAGGGAUCGCAGAACAGAGAAAUGAUGACGUUACAAGAGUACUCCAUGGUGGAGAAAUACCAAAGGAUGCCGAUGGCGAUGAGAACUAAUCAAGCUGCAUGUGUUUGUAGAACAGGGUUCAUUUGGUCAAACCUUCGCCGACCACGUGUGGACGACUAUCACCGGACUACUGCAGCCACAGAACAUUAGUCAAUGUCUCAUCCUACUUCGAUAAUUUCAAUUUUCAGGCUCAAACUUAUGGCUUCCAUUACUUACCUCUCAGUUUACAGUGAACUCUCUCUUCAGAGAUUGUGAAUUAAUUUUCAAGUUUUUUCGGCCUUUUUCCACCAAAUGGAUCCCUCUGAGGCUCUGAUUACCAAAAUCAGGCACUCUCAAUCUAGAGCAGAAAGUAAACAUAUAAUUUACUGGCAUUGGGCUGCUAAGACAUAAGCCUGAAUUUUAGGGAAAAUUUUACAAUACUGGUAGGUAUGCCAUACGUACUGCAUGUGACUUUUAUGAAUAUUUGUAACUGUUGGAUCGUUAAUAUGUUUAAUGGCUGUAAAUAUUCUAAAAUGAAUACUUGUUUACCUGGUCACUUUCAACUUAAUAAAUAAAUAAAAAAUAGGGUCGCAAGUAUAAAGAAGAAGACGACGACAGAUAGAAAAAGGCAUUCCAGUUUGCAUGGAGAGACGAGGGAGAGAGAGAAUCCAUUUUGUUUAUCAAGUUUCAAUCGAACAGAGCAUGUAAAACCCAAAUCUUGAUGUUACAACGCUAUCAAUCUUGUGUUUCUCAUUGGUUUCGAUUGAAUCAAGGGAAUCGAAGUUGGGUUCGGUAAUGUGUUGUCGAGAUGGUAAAUUUUCAGAUUUGAACCAAAUAGGCUAUUUGUCCUCAUUCACGUAAUAUGAUUCUCGGUUUUGUAAUUAGGUGGUGCUUUUUGUAUUUAGAAAAUAAUUACAUCUUUUACAACGUUUUUACAAAAACAAUGACAUUUGGUUAAAACUUUUGUAAUAAACGUCUAUAUGUUGUAAUUAUGAGGUCUUGAUCAAAUUUACAGAUUUAUAACCCAUUUUACAAAAUUAAUGACCAAUGUGUUGUCGAGAUGAUAAAUUUUCAAAUUUGGACAAAAUAGACCAUUUGUUCUCAUUCACGUAUAAUAUGGUUCUCGAUUUUGUAAUUGGGUGGUGUUUUUUGUAUCUAGAAAAUAAUCACAUCUUUUACAACGUUUUUACGAAAACAAGGACAUUUGGUUAAAACUUUUGUAAUAAAUGUCCAUAUGUUGUAAUUAUGAGGUAUUGACCAAAUUUACAGAUUUAUAACCCAUUUUACAAAAUUAAUGACGACUGUGUUGUCGAGAUGAUAAAUUUUCAAAUUUAGACCAAAUAGACCAUUUGUUCUCAUUCACGUAAUAUGGUUCUCGAUUUUGUAAUUGGGUGGUGUUUUUUAUAUCUAGAAAAUAAUUACAUCUUUUACAAUGUUUUUACAAAAACAAUGACAUUUGGUUAAAACUUUUGUAAUAUAUGUCCAUAUGUUGUAAUUACGAGGUCUUGACCAAAUUUACAGAUUUAUGACCCAUUUUACAAAACUGAAGACGAAUGUGUUGUCGAGAUGGUAAAUUUACAAAUUAUAUCCAAAUAGACCAUUCGUUCUCAUUCAUGUAAUAUAGUUCUCGGUUUUGUAAUUGAGUGGUGACUUUUGUAUUGAGAAUAUAUUUACAUCUUUUACUACGUUUUUACAAACAUAAAGACAUUUGUUUGAAAUGUUUGUAAUAAAUGUUCAUAUGUUGUAAAAUAAAAAUAAUAAUAAUGUCACGUGUCAUAUUCUAAAUGGGUAACCUGAUGACCAGUUCUUCAGGUUACCAUAAUUUUAAUUGUUAAUUAUUAAAUAAAAAAGAAAAAAGAAAUGAUGUAUUGGUAGAUACACUAGCUUGUCCAGAAUUUUAGACAUGAAACUACAACUCCGAUAUUGGAGCUAAUCAACUUGGAUGUUAUUGUGAGAGAUAAUUUAUUUUCUUUGAUUCAAACGUAAUCUAUUAUUUCACCAAUUCUUUAGAUCAACUCCUGUGACAUGCUUGUUUCAAGGGCAGGGAUGGAUCUGAAUAUGCUCCAGUUGAGAUUUUAUUAAAAACAAAUUUCGCAGCUGCCUCGGUGUAGUGAAUCCCAUCCCAGACCACUCUAGUUGAGGGGUUUUUGCAUGAACCAACAAAGAUUUGGCUUCCAUUGAGUGACAUUGUUGUUCCACAUCGUGCACUACUGUCAUAGUUGUACUUGCCACCAUAGCCACAACAAGCAACAAGUGGGAGCUCAAAUCCUGCCAAAAAUUGCCAGCAAUAGAUUAUUUCUAGUGAAAACCUGAAUAAAUAAUUUCAAUUUCUUUCUGUUUUGUUAAAUAUGUUUGAUUAACAUUGGAUCUCAAAAGUAGGCAGUUCAGACUUUGUAAUGAUAUGUGAUCACUCAAAAGCGAGGUUAGCUCACUUCCUACUCAGAUUCUCAGAAGCUAACUCUAUAUCUCUACACCCGCUAAUAGUAGUACGUUUUAGAUGAUAAACACAACAAUAAGAUGUAAAAGGAUUCAUCAGGGGAUUUGAAUCCGUGAAAGUUAAAAUGCUGUGAAGAAUUUAAUGCCUAAAUAUCAACUUACCAUACUUUUGGGGUUCCUUAAAAAGAGAGUAUUUGACAGAAUACACAUCUACAUAAGUGAAUGCAGCCAAAGGAAGAUCCUUCCUGAGUUGAACUACGGCCUGCUUCAGCUUGUGGUUAAAAUGUUGAGCUACUUCAUUGCAUGCCUUUGCACAACCAGCCUCAUCUUUCUGAGCUGAUGGGAAUAUUACCAAAAUGUAAGGAAGACAGCCAAUUGGCCCCGUAUUGUGGAUCCAAAAUGAUCUUGCUCCCAAGUCAUAUAUUUUCUACAUCCUCACAAAUACACAAUCAUCAACAAUCAUACAACAUAUGAAUCGAAGCAACUGCAAUUGUUGCUUGUGUUUUAAGAAACUUAAACCAAACACAUGGCCUUCAGCAAAAGAAAUCUAAUUGUGGGGUAAAUUAACAAGCUUUUCUUAGAGUGGUUGAUAAUACUAAUCAUUACCUUAAUAUUAGUUGAGAAACCAGUGAUUAUAUCAGGAACAGAUGCAUUUAGUUCCUGUACAGUCAUGUUUCUGAAGAUUCCCUCAUCCCCAAGAUCAUUCUGACCAAUGUCGAAUGUGUAUAAAGCUUUGGAGAAGUACUCCUCCAUGGGCAUUAAACUUGCAAAUAUUCCCCCUACAAGUACGAAAGUGAAAGAGCAGGUCACCUUCCUAUUAAAAGUACGUAGGAGUCAUCUUAAAUGAAGUGACCAAGAUAUUGACAUUCUUGAGUACUUUUACCUCGCUGCCUUAUGAGUUGUGAUCUGGAUUUCAGUUGCAGGAACUGCAAGUAUUGAAUGUCAAGAUAGAAGGGACUAGAUCCAGCUCGUGGUAAAAUGAGAUGUGGGAGUCUGAUAGUGGAAGCAGCAGUGGCGAAAUUUGCCCCAUACGAGAAAUUUGUCCCAAGAGAAUCCAGAUAUGCGCUUAGAUAAGGGUGACCAAGACUCUUUGCUUAACCACAAGACAGUUUGCUUGUCAGUAUCAUCAAUACAGUACAUAAUACAUCUGGUUAUCUAAACAAUGCCUAAUACAAUCUCUUUGAUAAAAUUGAUGAAAUACAAACUCUUACCAAUAAUUAAGUCACAUGGAGAAGAAUAAACUUCUGCAAAUCCCACCUUAAUCUAUUCUAUAAACUAUUUAUUCUAAUGUGAGCACUAAUUCUUUCCAAUUGCCCAUAUUAUGGGAAGAGCCUUUUUGUGCAAGGAGUGGUGGAUAAACUCUUCAACCAUAUCCACUGAUAUAUCCCACCUACACUUUCUCUCCUCAUUAUGUUUACACAUAAAGUGCGGUGCAGAAUCAUCAAGAAAUGAGUGUGUAGAAACCAUCUCAGGCCUACAACUUUGUAUACAAAGUUUGAUAAUUCAACCUUGAGAAAAAGAUCUAUAGCCUUCUACAAUCAUAUAUGUUUAAAUUGUCAACCAGAAAGAACUCUCUCUAAAUCUUUGCAUAUGAUAUAACCUAUACAUGUUGAUUUAAAUGAAGGUAAGAGAAACACACCCAGGAAGUCGAUUAUGAGUCUUCCAUCAGAGAAUCUUCCGGCUGACAUAUGGAAAUAGGUCUCUCCAUAAGGUGCGGGUAAUGGUGGAAAGGCUGCAACCAGUCCACCAGUAUCUGAAUUCGAGUCUCCGAAGUUGAAGAUGGCUGGAAACUCGCAGUCUUUCAAAGCCAAUGUAGUGGUCACAGUACUACCGGUAGUAAGCAAUAUAAGCAUAUAGGAGCAAAACAGAGAAAUAACUACUCCAGUAGAGUACACCAUGGUCGAGAUUGGAGAAAGACCAAAAGAUGCAGAUUAGAACUAAGCUGUGUUUGUUGUAUAUAGUGUAAUGAAAGGUGCAAUUUCCUUCAAUUGUACUUCUCGGAGGCAUUUUCUUGUGUCAACGCCGUAUUGUUUAAGGCGUUGGCUGAAACGCAUAAAGCAACAAGAUGACCAAGAACCUCUGAACAGACAUGCCGAUGGCGAUGGCGAUGAGAACUAAUUAAGCUGCAUGUGUGUUGGUACAAAAAUUGUUGGCUAUCCCUUUAUGAUCAAAACACAAGGAUACAUGCUACAUGUUGUAGCCUGGUAGCAAGGACUGCUAAAGUGAAGUAUGAAGAAUCUGACAGAUCUCAUGUGCAUCAGGUAGUUCAUACAUGUUGUAGCCUGGUAGCAAGGACUGCUAAAGUGAAGUAUGAAGAAUUUGACAGAUCUCAUGUGCAUCAGGUAGUUCAUACAUGUUGUAGCCUGGUAGCAAGGACUGCUAAAGUGAAGUAUGAAGAAUCUGACAGAUCUCAUGUGCAUCAGGUAGUUCAUACAUGUGCAUCUCAUUCACUAAGGAUGGCAGCCGUGCUUGCCAUCCGGAUUAGACGGAUACCCCUGUUGUAUCUGUUCUAUCUACUGGGUCUGACCAUGUGCAUAUUCAAAUGUGUUUUUAAGUGUUUGAAUUUCAAAUACCUUUAGCAAAACAUUAGUCUAUUCGUGCUUGAGCUCCAAGUUAGUCUAGGGUGGUGUGGCAAACCAACCCGUGACCACAUAACUUGAGCCUUUGGGAACCAGCUGGGUUUUGUGAUACACAAACCAAGUUAGUAGCUGCCCAUGUGAUGCACCGCCUAAGCUAUCAGCUGUCCUAAGUGUCCUCUUAGGUAAAGUGGUUUUGUAGAGCCUUUAUGCUUGACUAAAUCUGAUCUAGUUUUUCCAAAACCUUUUGUCUUAUCCUUUUGGCUUUAGUCUUUCAUAGGAAAGUCUAUUCUCAGCUUUUGUCUUGUGAGUGGAGGGAUCCCUAGGGUCCUAUCUGUCCUAGUAUUUCAGACAAGCAGCUAGAGUCCAAAAGAACCUUGUUGAUGUGGCAAACGUGCUUGCUUCCUCAUAGCUGUGCACUUUGCCUAUAAAUAGAGAGCAAGACCUCUCUUGCUCUUUGGUUGUUGAAAAUAGUCUUGUUUGUUUUCUUCCAUUGAGUCUAGCAUUUGCUAACUGCCCAUAUAUCUCUAAGUCUUCCCUGUGAUUGUCAAUCUUAGAGCUGAGCACCAAAAUCUUUUCAAACUCAUAUCAUUGUGCAUUUGCAUACCUUGAGAUCUGUCUAGGUGAUGCAACAACCCCGGCGAAGCUGUCUUUGAGAAUUAGCUAAAGGUGUUAGUUGAAUUCUGCAUAGAAGCUUAGAUUCGUGUUAUGUGUAAAACACUUGAGUGACAAGAGAGCAAGUUUUAGUUGAGUGCUAGGAGUUAGACUAGGCAGUAUGGCUAGGUGUUGUGUCAUCCUCUGAGUUGUGAGUAUUGUAAGAAGUGUCUUUACAAUAGUGGAAUAGUUUGUCUCUCAAGAGUUUGAGGCACGCAGUUUUCUCCCUGGUUGCAGGGUUUAUGCGUAUAAAAACGUACUGGUGUUAUAUCUUUACUUUCAGUACUUGUCUUUUUAUUUACAUAACUUAGUCUCACAGCAAACAUGAUAGCACAAUCUUUGCUAUCCUUGUGUGCGGGAUAGAGACGAAAAAGUUGUCAGGGCCUAUUCACCCCCCCCCCCCCCUUCUAGGACCUUCAAUGUGUUUCUAGAACAGUGUUCAUUUGGUCAAAUUUUCGCCGACCACGUGUGGACGACUAUCACCGAGCUACUGCAGCCACAGAACAUUAGUCAAUGUCUCAUCCUACUUCGAUAAUUUCAUUUUCAGGCUCAAACGUAUGGCUUCCAUUACUUACCUCUCAGUUUACAGUGAACUCUCUCUUCAGAGAUUGUGAAUUAAUCUUCUGUUGUAAAACAAAAGUAAAAGAGUGAGAAAGGAGAGAAACAACCAACAGAAUGAGAGAAUAUAUGUGUAUUAUUGAGUAGGGAACCAUUGCUUAUAUAGAGAUGAGGCCAUGAUGUAAAUUACAAUAACAACCCUAGUCGGCUAAUUACAAGAAUGUCCACUAAGUAAUAACUAUUUACAACACUCCCCCUUGUUAUUCUCUGUCAUUAGCUUUCCCUAAUAUGUGCUUCGGUGUUACCUCGUCAACCAGUAAUAAAAACCCUAUGGGACAAAAACAAUCCUGGUUGAAGGAGAAAAUAAUACAACGCACAAGUAGCAGUGAUAGUCAGAACCCUUGAUUUCGGUGAAGCGGUUUAAUCUAGAUCAUAAGAUGUGAGUUUGUGGGAGAUAGAUGCAUAAUAGUUGCUACACCAAAACCUUGCCCGGUAAACCCAGUGGGAUAAACCCGUGGUCGAAGGGAAAAGAUGAGCAAAUGCAUAUAUUUCAAAUAAAGGCAUCUUCAAGAUGCAACAUGAGAAAGGUGACCAAUUACAUAUGUGCCUCAUUAAAACCUUGUCAGGUAACAAACCCAGUUGAACAAAAUAACCCUGGACGAAGGACAAAAAGAGUACACAAUAGUCAAGAGUAUGCUUCAGGAUACUCCCCCUAAUAUUAACUCCCCCUGAAAACUACACGCUAGGUAAAACUACUACAUUGAUUAUGCUUCUUGAAUAACUUAAUAGUCAGCAUAAUUUAAAAAGUAACGGAAAAUUUAACUUAACCUUUCCGUUGACUGAACCAACAAAGAUUUGGCUUCCAUUGACUGUGAUUGUUGUUCCACAUCCUGCACUACUGUUAUAGUUGUACUUGCCACCAUAGCCACAACAAGCAACAAGUGGGAGCUCAAAUCCUGCCAAAAAUUGCCAGCAAUAGAUUAUUUCUAGUCAAAACAUGAAAAUAAAUAAUUUCGAUUUCUUUCUGUUUUGUUAAAAAUGUUUGAUUAACAUUGGAUCUCGAAAAUAGGCGGUUCAGACUUUGUGAUGAUAUGUGAUCACUCAAAAGCGAGGUUAGCUCACUUCCUACUCAAAUUCUCAGAAGCUAACUCUAUAUCUCUACAGCCGCUAAUAGUAGUACAUUUUAGAUGAUAAACACAACAAUAAGAUGUAAAAAGGAUUAUCAGGGGAUUUGAAUCCGUGAAAGUUAAAAUGCUGUGAAGAUCUUAAUGCUUAAAUAUCAACUUACCAAACUUUGCAGGUUCCUUGAAAAGAGAGUACUUGACAGAAUACACAUCCACAUAAGUGAAUGCAGCCAAAGGAAGAUCCUUCCUGAGUUGAACUACGGCUUGCUUCAGCUUGUGGUUAAGAUGUUGAGCUACUUCAUUGUAAGCCUUUGCACAACCAGCCUCAUCUUUCUGAGCUGAUGGGAAUCUUACCAAAAUGAUAGGAAGACAGCCAACUGGCCCCGUAUUGUGGAUCCAAAAUGAUCUUGCUCCCAAGUCAUAUAUUUUCUACAUCCUCACAAAUACACAAUCAUCAACAAUCAUACAACAUAUCAAUCGAAGCAACUGCAAUUGUUGCUUGUGUUUUAAGAAACUUAAACUAAACACAUGGCCUUCAGCAAAAGAAAUCAAAUUGUGGGGUAAAUUGACAAGCUUUUCUGAGAGUGGUUGAUAAUACUAAUCAUUACCUUGAUAUUAGUUGAGAAACCAGUGAUUAUAUCAGGAACAGAUGCAUUUACUUCCUGUAUAGUCAUGUUACGAGAGAGUCCCUCCCCAAGAUCAUUCUGACCAAUGUCGAAUGUGUAUAAAGCUUUGGAGAAGUACUCCUCCAUGGGCAUUAAACUUGCAAAUAUUACCCCUACAAGUACGAAAGUAAAAGAGCAGAUCACCUUCGUAUUAAAAGUAGGAGUCAUCUUAAAUGAAGUGACCACGAAAUUGACAUUCUUCGGUACUUCUACCUCGUUGCCUUAUGAGUUGUGAUCUGGAUUUUAGUUGCAGGAACUGCAAGUAUUGAAUAUCAAGAUAGAAGG
rnacentral:lncRNA from 1 species